rnacentral:rRNA from 1 species
UACGUAGGGCGCAAGCGUUAUCCGGAAUUAUUGGGCGUAAAGAGCUCGUAGGCGGUUUGUCGCGUCUGCCGUGAAAUUCCAGGGCUUAACCCUGGGCUUGCAGUGGGUACGGGCAGACUAGAGUGUGGUAGGGGAGACUGGAAUUCCUGGUGUAGCGGUGAAAUGCGCAGAUAUCAGGAGGAACACCGAUGGCGAAGGCAGGUCUCUGGGCCACUACUGACGCUGAGAAGCGAAAGCAUGGGGAGCGAACAGG